GAAGACACAGCCUCCAACAUUUCUCAGAUGGAAACAUCUUAUUCUACGUCAGGAAACUUCUCCUUGACACUUGGUGACGUUAUCAUUCAAAAUGGACUUUGCAUGGCAGCUUCACCAUUUCCUUCAUUUGGUCCAGGGAUUUUAUUUUCCAUCUAAGCAGGACUCUUUUUUUGCACCUACAUAAACAUACCACAUUUAAUUGUUCUCCGAAACAUUUAGGGGAGGAAAAAAGGGAAAGCGGGACACUCUGGGAUGAAAUCAGAAACCAGGAUGGCACCUGUAAUUUCAGGACUGUCCCUGGAAAACUGGGACACUUGGAGGAUAUGAUGAGGUGCGACAGUCAGUCAUUCUCCUUUCAGGACUUGGGAGCCCUCUCCUGGGGAGAAAUAAAUUUCUAACUCGUACACUAACAUACAUACUAGAUGCAAGCCUCACAGCUCCAUGUUUUGGUUCUUUUUUAUUAUUAUUAUUAUUUUACAAACGUCCACACUUCUGCUUAUCUAAAGAAUCUCCCAAGUACAUACAGGCCAAUACCUUAUUUUUGGAUUGCCCUAUUUCUCCUUCAGGAUGACAGGGCUCACCGCCGCCUGAGUUUGCUACUAUAAAGGGAAAGGUACCCCUGCCUGUACGGGCCAGUCUUGACAGACUCUAGGGUUGUGCGCUCAUCUCACUCUAGAGGCUGGGAGCCAGCGCUGUCCACAGACACUUCCGGGUCACGUGGCCAGCAUGACAAAGCUGCUCCGGCGAACCGGCACCAGCGCAGCACAGAAUGAUAAAUAAAGACACUUCUCCCUUUUAUCAGAGCAAACUCAGUUUCAGGUAUCACCACUCCAAAGAAUCCUACAUCAUACAGGAGAUGUAGAACCAUAUUUUUUUUUUCCUUUACCCUCAGAGUCUACUCCUUUCAGAUAGCUUAAUAAAUUACUUUGAAUCUAAUGGCAUAUUAAUUUGCUGACAAUUCUGUCGACCAUUUUACAUCAAUAAGUGUCAAUCCGUAGUAGUUAAAGGGACUGUUUUACAGGAAGCAACUAUGAGAUCUGAGAAUUUCAGACUUUUGCUUAACUUCAAUGUGUGGUUUUCUAAAUGCCUACGUUGUUUUUAUGCUGCUUUAGUUCUAUCAGAGUUUGAUGACUUUUUAUGUAUUAUCUUUUAUAUAAGUUUUUAGCUUUUUGCAUUUUAUUUGCUUUGUUUUGUUCUGUGGAAGCUGCUUUGAGUUUUUAGCUCUUUGUAUUUUAUUUUAUUUUUUUUGUUUUGUUUUGUUUUGUUUAGUGGAAGCUGCUUUGAGUCCCAGUCUGGGGGAAUGGAAGGAUAUAAAUAUCACUACUAAUACUAAUACUUUAUGGUUUAUUCAUCUGGCAACCUUGUCAACUGCUCCUCCUUUUAGCUUCUGAUCCUUAAAUGCAGAACAGAAUUGGAUGGACUUCCCAUUAUGCAAAUAUGCCAAGCACACUCCUCCUUUUUAAAGAGUGCCAUUCAAUGAUGCUUGAUGACCUGACUGAGACUCAUACACCCUGUUUCUAAUAAACAAAGGACUGAGUGAUUAAGGGGGGGAAAUAUGAGAUCUUUGUCAAUUUUGCUCAUUCUCCUAAGCAUCUCACCUGGUGAGCAUUUAUGCUUAGUGUAAAAACAAAAAUCUUGAAUUCAACCCAAACUGAAGUCGCAUGAGAAGUCUAACAUCUGCCCUUUCUGUUUUGCAGGCAUCCUUUCCAGUCCACAGUUAAUCGAGUCUGGCCCAGGAGUGGUGAAGCCAGGAGAGUCCUUCAAACUGACCUGCACUAUCUCUGGUUUCCAAGUCAGUGAUUAUUACUGGGUCUGGAACCGACAGCCUCCAGGG